GGAUGUGAGGGCGAUCUGGCUGCGACAUCUGUCACCCCAUUGAUCGCCAGGGUUGAUUCGGCUGAUCUGGCUGGCUAGGCGGGUGUCCCCUUCCUCCCUCGCCGCUCCAUGUGCGUCCCUCCCGAAGCUGCGCGCUCGGUGGAAGAGGAUGACCUUCCCCGAUAGAGGAGAGGACCGUUCUUCGGUCAAGGGUAUACGAGUAGCUGCACUCCCCUGCUAGAACCUCCAAACAAGCUCUCAAGGUGAGAGCUUAUCUCCACCUGCCAAGGCUUCUUCACUCUGGCGCCAGGAGACCUGAAGUUUUGGAAUCAGCGUCUGAGUCAGGCAUGCAGCUUGUUC
ensembl:misc_RNA 7SK 7SK RNA